CGGGAGGGUGCGAGCGUUGUCCGGAAUCAUUGGGCGUAAAGGGCGCGUAGGUGGCCUGGUCAGUCCGUGGUGAAAGCGCGGGGCUCAACCCCGCGUCGGCCAUGGAUACUGCUAUGGGCUUGAGCACUGUAGAGGCAGGCGGAAUUCCGGGUGUAGCGGUGGAAUGCGUAGAGAUCCGGAAGAACACCGGUGGCGAAGGCGGCCUGCUGGGCAGUAGCUGACACUGAGGCGCGACAGCGUGGGGAGCAAACAGGAUUAGAUACCCUGGUAGUCCACGCCGUAAACGAUGGGCACUAGGCGCUUGGGGGAGCGACCCCCCGAGGGCCGGCGCUAACGCAUUAAGUGCCCCGCCUGGGGAGUACGGCCGCAAGGCUAG
rnacentral:rRNA from 1 species